CGCGCGCAGGGCACUGGUGGGCCUGCGCCCUCCCAGGGCGCUGCCCCGGGCACCCCGGUGCCCGGGCAGGUUCCCGCACCUGCGCCCGCACC
rnacentral:tRNA from 1 species